UGAGGAAUAUUGCACAAUGGGCGCAAGCCUGAUGCAGCGACGCCGCGUGUGGGAUGAAGGGGCUACGCCUCGUAAACCACUGUAGCCCGGGACGAAAAACGCCUUAGAGGCAUUAGACGGUACCGGGAAAGUAAGGGUCGGCUAACUACGUGCCAGCAGCCGCGGUAAUACGUAGGACCCAAGCGUUGUCCGGAUUUACUGGGUGUAAAGGGUGCGCAGGCGGAUGGGUAAGUCAGGGGUGAAAGUCUGCAGCUUAACUGUAGAAUUGCCUGUGAUACUGCUCAUCUUGAGUGUGGGAGAGGUUGAUGGAAGUCCAGGUGGAGCAGUGAAAUGCGUAGAUAUCUGGAAGAACACCAGUGGCUAAGGCGGUCAACUGGCCCAUAACUGACGCUCAUGCACGAAAGCGUGGGGAGCAAACA
rnacentral:rRNA from 1 species